rnacentral:lncRNA from 1 species
GGCAAGCUGAUUUUAAACUUUUAAAAUUGUAUUUUGCUUAGCCAUCUGAUAUCCCAUGUACGUAGCUUGGUGCCACAUUCAUCGCCUGACAUUUUGGCCUCUCUCACCUCCACGUGUUUACAUUCUUUCUUCAAACCAAUAGAUUUGGUUUUGCUGCUCUGGUUAGUACUUAAGGUCACUUUCAUAGUUACGUCUUAAUGUGUGCACUGUGGAAGGAGAAGUCAUAACACGAAACUUCUUGUCAGCAGAUUGGCGAACUUACCUGAGAAACUGAGACUCAAGAUCGUGAGGAUGUGUGACUAGGACCGAAAGCAGAUUUCCAGGUAGGAAAUCAAAAUGAUUUUCUUGAACUCCUUGGCACUUGAUUUUGUAGAAGUCAAAUCACCAUUUCUUGUGAGAUGCAAAACUCCAAAAGGAGGGGUGGCAUGAAUAUUGAGGUUGCAUUAGCAAAUCAUGUUGUGUUCCUCUUUUAGAUUCUUUUAUUUGACUUUUACACAGUAAGGUAAUAGCUG